CAAGCACUCUGUAAGUGACAGGAAAAUGAAUAUUGAUUUUCAGUUACAAUUCACAUGCGGAAAAAGAUUAUUUCCCUCCAUUCCAUCCCCUUGGUAUAUACAGAGAACAUUAUAGAAACAGAAAGAUGCUAAUCACCAUGACAGCUGAUUAUAUAAAAAUAAAGAGACAGUCUUCUGUCAUUCCCUUUGAGCAUGUAAAAGAACUCAGAAAUAUGCUUCCUGCCACGGUAUAAACGAAAACUGGAAAAGGAUGCUGGAAGAAUCUCAUUCUUUCUCUCACCACACAGUGAAACAGCACAGAUCAAGAGCAGACGAGAAGAAACACGACUGGUGUGGACGUGCUGCUUCCCGUUAUUUCUUGAGGAAGGAAACACUGAGAACUGAUUUGGAGGCCACUAUGCAUCGUUUACUACUUUUCCAUGGAGGCUGGAAAUAAAAAAAGAUCAUGCCAUUAGAGGCUAAAUUGUGAUACUUCUAUCGACACAGUGAACUAUCACUCUCUUGUGAGGAAGAAUAAGGAAGAACUUGAUGACGUCAGACUGCGUAACUUCUGGGCAAAAGAAGAAGAGUCAAUGUGGCUAGCUCUCUUUUCCGUAGGAAGAAGGUGAAUAAGAACAUGCAGGCACGUUUGUUUAAUUUCUUCAAGGGAACUUGAGAAUGAAUACGAACUCAUCUCUCAUUUUAUUGUGAUUCACGUCAUUGUGCUUUGCAGAUACGGCAUUUUUUACAAGUUGAAAGUUUGUGACAACUCUGCAUUGAGCAAGUCUGUCAUUGAUAUUUUUCCAACAUUUGCUCACUUUGUGUCUCUGUCAUAAUUCCUGCAAUACUUCAACCUUUUUCAUUAUUAUUAUAUUUGUUAUGGUGAUCUGUGCUCAGUGAUCUGUGAUCAGUGAUCUUUGAUGUUACUAUUGUAACUAUUUUGAGGCGUCACAAACUCUGCCCAUAUAAGAUGGUGAACUUAAUUGAUAAGUGUUGUGUGUGUUCUGACUGCUCCACCGGCUGAUUCCCCGUCCCCACCACCCCAGUCUGUCUCCCUGUCCUGGGGCCUCCCUAUUCCCUGAGACACGACAAUAUUGAAAUUAGGCCAACUAAUAAUCCUACAAUGACCUCCAAGUGUGCAAGUGAAAGGAAGAGACACAAAU
rnacentral:lncRNA from 1 species